rnacentral:snRNA from 1 species
GUUGACCAGGCCAAAAUAGACA